GACGAACCCUUGCGGCGUGCUUAACACAUGCAAGUCGAACGGAAAGGCCCUGCUUUUGUGGGGUGCUCGAGUGGCGAACGGGUGAGUAACACGUGAGUAACCUGCCCUUGACUUUGGGAUAACUUCAGGAAACUGGGGCUAAUACCGGAUAGGAGCUCCUGCUGCAUGGUGGGGGUUGGAAAGUUUCGGCGGUUGGGGAUGGACUCGCGGCUUAUCAGCUUGUUGGUGGGGUAGUGGCUUACCAAGGCUUUGACGGGUAGCCGGCCUGAGAGGGUGACCGGCCACAUUGGGACUGAGAUACGGCCCAGACUCCUACGGGAGGCAGCAGUGGGGAAUAUUGCACAAUGGGCGGAAGCCUGAUGCAGCAACGCCGCGUGCGGGAUGACGGCCUUCGGGUUGUAAACCGCUUUCGCCUGUGACGAAGCGUGAGUGACGGUAAUGGGUAAAGAAGCACCGGCUAACUACGUGCCAGCAGCCGCGGUGAUACGUAGGGUGCGAGCGUUGUCCGGAUUUAUUGGGCGUAAAGGGCUCGUAGGUGGUUGAUCGCGUCGAAAGUGUAAUCUUGGGGCUUAAACCCUGAGCGUGCUUUCGAUACGGGUUGACUUGAGGAAGGUAGGGGAGAAUGGAAUUCCUGGUGGAGCGGUGGAAUGCGCAGAUAUCAGGAGGAACACCAGUGGCGAAGGCGGUUCUCUGGGCCUUUCCUGACGCUGAGGAGCGAAAGCGUGGGGAGCGAACAGGCUUAGAUACCCUGGUAGUCCACGCUGUAAACGGUGGGUACUAGGUGUGGGGUCCAUUCCACGGGUUCCGUGCCGUAGCUAACGCUUUAAGUACCCCGCCUGGGGAGUACGGCCGCAAGGCUAAAACUCAAAGGAAUUGACGGGGCCCCGCACAAGCGGCGGAGCAUGCGGAUUAAUUCGAUGCAACGCGUAGAACCUUACCUGGGUUUGACAUGGAUCGGGAGUGCUCAGAGAUGGGUGUGCCUCUUUUGGGGUCGGUUCACAGGUGGUGCAUGCCUGUCGUCAGCUCGUGUCGUGAGAUGUUGGGUUAAGUCCCGCAACGAGCGCAACCCUUGUUCACUGUUGCCAGCACGUUAUGGUGGGGACUCAGUGGAGACCGCCGGGGUCAACUCGGAGGAAGGUGGGGAUGACGUCAAGUCAUCAUGCCCCUUAUGUCCAGGGCUUCACGCAUGCUACAAUGGCUGGUACAGAGAGUGGCGAGCCUGUGAGGGUGAGCGAAUCUCGGAAAGCCGGUCUCAGUUCGGAUUGGGGUCUGCAACUCGACCUCAUGAAGUCGGAGUCGCUAGUAAUCGCAGAUCAGCAACGCUGCGGUGAAUACGUUCCCGGG
rnacentral:rRNA from 1 species